rnacentral:rRNA from 1 species
UACGUAGGGAGCAAGCGUUGUCCGGAAUCAUUGGGCGUAAAGCGCGCGUAGGUGGCCUCAUAAGUCCGCUGUGAAAGUCAAAGGCUCAACCUUUGAAAGCCGGUGGAUACUGUGGGGCUAGAGUACGGAAGAGGCGAGUGGAAUUCCUGGUGUAGCGGUGGAAUGCGCAGAUAUCAGGAGGAACACCGGUGGCGAAGGCGGGACUCUGGGCCGAUACUGACGCUGAGGAGCGAAAGCGUGGGGAGCGAACAGG